rfam:Acidovorax sp. MR-S7 DNA, scaffold: scaffold93, whole genome shotgun sequence.
CCGGCGAGUAGAAGCGUUCAGCACGGCGGGACCCGCCGUCGCCCGGAAAUUGCUCAGUUC